AUGACGACGGUGAUGCGAGCCAUGGAUACCCACCAUGCGCGGAUACAUGUCGUCGUCCUCGUUCUUCUCUGACAGUACCAAAGCACGGGAGAUCCGGCUAGCAGAGGGGAUGCAGGCCAGGGGAGUGGUGUGUGCUGCUGCACAACGUCCACCAGGACGUGCAAGCAAGCGACCUCGUCUGCAAUGGGCUCACAUCCAUAAGCCCGCAGCUCCUCUUGAUUUGAGCACAGUUGGGGAUAGCAAUGUCCGCCGGGCGGCACAUCGAAGGCUCCCACCACAACACCUCACCAGAAGAGUAGUCGCAGCACCAACACCCAGGGCGUGUGGUGAGACAUUCGCACCAAAGAAUCCCUGUCGAGAGAAGAGAACAUUCGGUGACCUGAAAUAUAUAUAGAUGAAGCGGCCCACUGGGAGAAUGAAAUCACCUGGCCGGCUGAACAACGCCCUUCGGCUCGGCUGCAUUUGCUUCCAGUACUGGAUGCAUGUACCGAAGCUCUCUAGUUUCAGUUCAGACAUAUGAUGAAUCGAGGGCAAAGGGACGUAAUGUGUGCCUACCUGCGUUGUUGAGAGCAAGCUAGUGGGACUGCUCCAGGGGCAAUGACGGUGCCUGCCUGUAGAUGCACAUGUCCUACAGACUCGCCGCACAAUUAUUCCUCUUCCUCUUGCAGUGGACUGACCGCAGCCUUGUCGGCGCGCUUGGCCUCCUCGCGAUUUAGAUUUACAUGGUCCUGUUUAGGUAUGUAUAUAUGGAUGGAACGACCACCAUUUCCACCUGUGAAAGGAAGGCCAUCAUCAGGGAUUAUUUCUCUCAUGUUGUGAUAUACCCUUCUGCUCCGUAGUCAUCAACAUGAUGAGGUCGAGGCGCAGUAGGUCCAAGGACUGGUGACGAGGUUGUGGUCUGCAGGGUCCAAGGCAGCAAGCCCCCCAAAACCAAGACGAGCUUGCAGGAAUGAUGCAUAGCCAUGGUCGACAAGGAUAUACAUGUGGAAGCCGAGAGCCUAGCCUAGUGAUCCACUCGAGAUGAUAUCUAUCUUGAUUGUGGAGGCUGAAGUAAAUGUCAUUGGUUACAGGUUUGCAUAUGUGUGUCACGACCACUAUUUCUUGAUCAUGUGGUUCAGUUAUACGCUUAAAACUCGUAGCUUUAUUAUGUCCUCAAUAUUGAUUGUUUAGUUCCAGUAAUACUGGUUGUUCAAUUUCAGACAUACUGGUGUUAUUCUGCUACUUCCUCGGUGAGGAAUGCUUUCCAUGUUGAAAUUUAGUAUGCAAGCAGCCAAAGCUUUUCAUUUCCUCAAUUUCAAACCAUUAGAUCUCGUUGAAUGUUUACUUUCCACGGGAAUUAGAUGAGCUUAGUGAAUUUUUUCUGCUCUGGCUUCAUGAGCUCACUGAUAGUUUGAGAGAGCAAGAGUAUUAUGCACAUAUGAGUUCGUAUGUUUUAGAUGCAACACUUGAUAGGAACUGGUGGCAUUAGUUUCCUAAUUGUCCAAACAAACUGGUCCCAUGAUUAACUCCAUAUAUGUUGCUGCUUUAGGCAUCACAUCCAUCUAAAAUUUCAUCUUUAAUCUGGCAUGAUAGGUAAAACACAUCCCCUGUUGUAAAUUAGAGGUUCUAAAACUAAGAAAUCACAGGGCAGUGUGUAACUUUUACUCCUUUAACUUUUACACUCUAGGAAAUGUAUUUAAAGCAGUGUAAUAUCUUACCAUGAGCUCGGUUUACUACAUGGACAUGCUACUGUAAUAGUUGUUUUCGCUGCGAUCUCGUUGGGUUACUUCUUGGUUUCCCCGCAAGGUUCAUUUCAUUGUACUUUCUGAUGCUUCUUGGUUGUAAUAACUGAUCGUAAUUAACAAAGGGUGUACCUUUUGGUCCAAGUGUACACUCUUUCUGUUCCAUACUCAUGAAAGGAAAGAGCAUUCUAUAUGACAGUAGUUUACAGGGAUGAGUGUUCAGUACUACACAGUUUCAUAGCAUUCUGCAUAGAAAUCUGCCUCGAAAGGCAGUGAUACAUCAGUUUGGGGUAUUCCAAGACUUGGUUGAUUGGGUCUUAUAGGAGUGUGAUUUGGUUGCACUAACUGCGUUCUUUCUAUACUGGGUUGCACCAAUGUUAUUUUGGAUAGUGUUUUGCAUGCUCUCAUAUGUCUCUGAGAAGUAUUCACACUUUAUGAAAUUUUAAUUGUACUAGUUCAUCUUGUUUUGUCAAGUUGUCUAUGGAAGCUCAUUCUCCCGUUGAUAUGUCGUAUCAGAGGCCCUUCCAGGCCCCUAAUUCUUCUUUGUUGGGUCAUGUCCACAUAGAGAAGAAUUUCGUUUUGAGUUUUUGUGUACAGUGUGAUGUUUGUUGCAGAGUGUGUUAUGAUGAUUGAGGAAUAUUGGUUUUGUUAAACAAUGCUCAGUUUGUUUUUUAGGUCCGGCGAGACUGCAAGAGACUUGGAGAGAAAAAGAAUGCGAGGGAUACUCAGAGAGAAGAUGAAUGUGAGAGAAUUGGAGGACCGGACGAAUGCUGCUACGUGUCCUGGCAGUGUGCAGCUGUGCUGCACAGAGAGGCUGUAUCGAGCAGCAAUACAGAGAGGCUGUAUCGAGCACCCACCAUGUGCCGUGGUGACACCGAGGCUGAGGAUGCUCUCUUUUUUCGUUCUUGAACUUGGUGGAUGGAUGUUAGGUUUUGUAGCUAUGUGAAGUGGUUGGCAUGUUUGAUAUUUAUGCCAUUGCACAUAUAUCUUGGAAAUGGAUUUCAUGUACAUGAAACUUGUACCGAUACAAGUAUAC